rnacentral:rRNA from 1 species
AGACCCGAAACCCGGUGAUCUAGCCAUGGGCAGGUUGAAGGUUGGGUAACACUAACUGGAGGACCGAACCGACUAAUGUUGAAAAAUUAGCGGAUGACCUGUGGCUGGGGGUGAAAGGCCAAUCAAACCGGGAGAUAGCUGGUUCUCCCCGAAAGCUAUUUAGGUAGCGCCUCGUGAAUUCAUCUCCGGGGGUAGAGCACUGUUUCGGCUAGGGGGCCAUCCCGGCUUACCAACCCGAUGCAAACUGCGAAUACCGGAGAAUGUUAUCACGGGAGACACACGGCGGGUGCUAACGUCCGUCGUGAAGAGGGAAACAACCCAGACCGCCAGCUAAGGUCCCAAAGUCAUGGUUAAGUGGGAAACGAUGUGGGAAGGCCCAGACAGCCAGGAUGUUGGCUUAGAAGCAGCCAUCAUUUAAAGAAAGCGUAAUAGCUCACUGGUCGAGUCGGCCUGCGCGGAAGAUGUAACGGGGCUAAACCAUGCACCGAAGCUGCGGCAGCGAACGUAUCACCCAAGACAACUUUACGGAGUUGACGAUUGACGGAGCGAAGCGACGUCAAAGCGUUCAU